UAUGUAAAGCUCUUUCGACGAGUCGAGUUGUUUGGGAAUGCAGCUCUAAAUGGGAGGUAAAUUUCUUCUAAAGCUAAAUAUUGGCGAGAGACCGAUAGCGCACAAGUAGAGUGAUCGAAAGAUGAAAAGCACUUUGGAAAGAGAGUUAAAAAGCACGUGAAAUUGUUGAAAGGGAAGCGCUUGCAAUCAGACUUGUUUAAACUGUUCGGCCGGUCUUCUGACCGGUUUACUCAGUUUGGACAGGCCAGCAUCAGUUUCGGCGGCCGGAUAAAGGCUCUGGGAAUGUGGCCUUCACUUCGGUGAAGGUGUUAUAGCCCAGGGUGUAAUACGGCCAGCCGGGACUGAGGUCCGCGCUUCGGCUAGGAUGCUGGCGUAAUGGUUGUAAGCGACCCGUCUUGAAACACGGACCAAGGAGUCUAACAUCUAUGCGAGUGUUCGGGUGUCAAACCCCUGCGCGUAAUGAAAGUGAACGGAGGUGGGAACCGCAAGGUGCACCAUCGACCGAUCCUGAUGUCUUCGGAUGGAUUUGAGUAAGAGCAUAGCUGUUGGGACCCGAAAGAUGGUGAACUAUGCCUGAAUAGGGUGAAGCCAGAGGAAACUCUGGUGGAGGCUCGCAGCGGUUCUGACGUG
rnacentral:rRNA from 1 species